AGUGAACGCUGGCGGUAGGCCUAACACAUGCAAGUCGAACGGCAGCACAGUAAGAGCUUGCUCUUACGGGUGGCGAGUGUCGGACGGGUGAGGAAUACAUCGGAAUCUACUUUUUCGUGGGGGAUAACGUAGGGAAACUUACGCUAAUACCGCAUACGACCUACGGGUGAAAGCAGGGGAUCUUCUGACCUUGCGCGAUUGAAUGAGCCGAUGUCGGAUUAGCUAGUUGGCGGGGUAAAGGCCCACCAAGGCGACGAUCCGUAGCUGGUCUGAGAGGAUGAUCAGACACACUGGAACUGAGACACGGUCCAGACUCCUACGGGAGGCAGCAGUGGGGAAUAUUGGACAAUGGGCGAAAGCCUGAUCCAGCCAUACCGCGUGGGUGAAGAAGGCCUUCGGGUUGUAAAGCCCUUUUGUUGGGAAAGAAAAGCAGCAGGUUAAUACCCCGCUGUUCUGACGGUACCCAAAGAAUAAGCACCGGCUAACUUCGUG
rnacentral:rRNA from 1 species